AUUCCUGACAAGCAAUUGAGACCUCUGAUAAAAAUAUAUUUAAGAUACGUUUAUCUGAAUAAAUACAUAUCGGCUUCCACAAAAAUAUACUGAGUACUGCAGAGGACAACAUCAAACAUUUCUGAGCGUGUCUGGAGAAAUGAAUGGGACACUGCUGGGGCAGGGCAGGGGUGGUUGUUUCUGCCAGUGGGGAAGUGUUUGAACAAUAUUUGGAAGAAGGGGUCUGUGUGUAAAGAAGUAUCCUUUCACCCUUUAAUUUGCUUCUCUUUCAGAAUAGAAGGCAACAGUAAGCUCUUUAAUAUUUUUUCCACUCAUAUGUUUGUGUUUAAUACACAAAGGAUAUAUUUCCAGCUAGUAUUUUUGUGGCACACUAUUUGAAAACAAAUGUAUGCAAUGCAAAUACACCUCAUUGGCUCUCCUUUGGCUUCUUUUCUUCCAAAUUAAAUAGGAAAACAAGUAAACAAUUGGUCUUGCUGGCAACUCAGUGUCUCAUACCGUUUUGCUUUUCCAUAUGCAAAUUCCCACCAAAAAUCAAAGCAUCCUGCACUUUGUUCCUGUUGGGUUAAGUGACUAGGAGAAAUUGUGUGAAGAAACCUUGCCAUUACUAUUCCUAUUUAGCUUUGUGGAGUUCCAAAUGAUAUCAAAACCCAAGUUUGUUCCUUUUCUUUUCAAUAACUUUUUUUCAUUGUGGCUGUUGGUGUUCUAGGAAGAGGCAUUAAUUUGGCAGGAUAGCAUCUUCUUUUUAAUCCCUGGACAUUGUCACCUACUCCAAUUUAACAGAGAGCAGAAAACAGCUUUCUCUCCUAACAGCUGUAACUAAUUUAGAUUUUUAUUUUUCUCUGUGGAUUCUCAGUCAAAGUGCAAGUUUUGCUACAGUCAGUAUUGUGUUUAUUUACAUUUACUUCAGUUCUGGGAGAAUGAAGAGGUUUGGUUGGGUUUGGUUUUCCCCAGGAAAGGAGUCCUCCAAAGUAGAGGAGCCAAAAGCAUUAGCUAAAUGAUUAGUCAGAAUUGCUACUGACCAGUGUCUCCGUUAUGGAGCAAACUUGUGGACAUGCUCACGUGCUUUUGUACAGCUGACUUCUCUCAGAUGCAUUCUUUCAGCCCUCUCUCAUUGGUGAUGCACUCUUGCAGCUUCUCCCCUCCCCUCAUCUCAGCAGUUGCAAAUAUGCCAAUAUUAAUUGAUUUUAAUUAUUGCAGUACUCCUGAGCAUAUGAGUAGUGUAACUGCCAGGAGUUGUAAAGGAUCUCCAGAAGACACAAAGAACUUUAUCUGAACUUCAUAUACCUGCAUUAAAGAGUAGAAUGGAAGAUAGCAUUUUACAGUUCAUCAGUAAGGCAGUUUCCAGAGGCUCUUCACCUUUGGGAUCUAGAAGAAAAUAGUGCUUACAGUUUGAUAAG